CAGCAGCCGCGGUAAUACGGAGGGAGCUAGCGUUGUUCGGAAUUACUGGGCGUAAAGCGCGCGUAGGCGGUUACUCAAGUCAGAGGUGAAAGCCCGGGGCUCAACCCCGGAACUGCCUUUGAAACUAGGUGACUAGAAUCUUGGAGAGGUCAGUGGAAUUCCGAGUGUAGAGGUGAAAUUCGUAGAUAUUCGGAAGAACACCAGUGGCGAAGGCGGCUUACUGGCUCAUUCUAGACGCUGAGGUGCGAAAGCGUGGGGAGCAAACAGGAUUAGAUACCCCUGUAGUCCCUGUCUCUUAUAC
rnacentral:rRNA from 1 species